rnacentral:rRNA from 1 species
GACCGGCGCACGGGUGAGUAACACGUAUCCAACCUGCCGUUACUCUUGGCCAGCCUUCUGAAAGGAAGAUUAAUCCAGGAUGGGAUCAUAAGUUCACAUGUCCGCAUGAUUAAAGGUAUUUUCCGGUAGACGAUGGGGAUGCGUUCCAUUAGAUAGUAGGCGGGGUAACGGCCCACCUAGUCAACGAUGGAUAGGGGUUCUGAGAGGAAGGUCCCCCACAUUGGAACUGAGACACGGUCCAAACUCCUACGGGAGGCAGCAGUGAGGAAUAUUGGUCAAUGGGCGAUGGCCUGAACCAGCCAAGUAGCGUGAAGGAUGACUGCCCUAUGGGUUGUAAACUUCUUUUAUAAAGGAAUAAAGUCGGGUAUGCAUACCCGUUUGCAUGUACUUUAUGAAUAAGGAUCGGCUAACUCCGUGCCAGCAGCCGCGGUAAUACGGAGGAUCCGAGCGUUAUCCGGAUUUAUUGGGUUUAAGGGGAGCGUAGAUGGAUGUUUAAGUCAGUUGUGAAAGUUUGCGGCUCAACCGUAAAAUUGCAGUUGAUACUGGAUGUCUUGAGUGCAGUUGAGGCAGGCGGAAUUCGUGGUGUAGCGGUGAAAUGCUUAGAUAUCACGAAGAACUCCGAUUGCGAAGGCAGCCUGCUAAGCUGCAACUGACAUUGAGGCUCGAAAGUGUGGGUAUCAAACAGGAUUAGAUACCCUGGUAGUCCACACGGUAAACGAUGAAUACUCGCUGUUUGCGAUAUACGGCAAGCGGCCAAGCGAAAGCGUUAAGUAUUCCACCUGGGGAGUAC